UACGGGGGGGGCAAGCGUUGUUCGGAAUUACUGGGCGUAAAGGGCUCGUAGGUGGCCAACUAAGUCAGACGUGAAAUCCCUCAGCUUAACCGGGGAACUGCGUCUGAUACUGGAUGGCUUGAGUUCGGGAGAGGGAUGCGGAAUUCCAGGUGUAGCGGUGAAAUGCGUAGAUAUCUGGAGGAACACCGGUGGCGAAGGCGGCAUCCUGGACCGAUACUGACGCUGAGGAGCGAAAGCCAGGGGAGCAAACGGG
rnacentral:rRNA from 1 species